CAAAGCAGAAGCUCCCGGUGCCCGCAGGAAGCCUCGCCCAGCUUGGUUCCCCACCCUCUAGCGCGCCCCUAGAAAGGGCCUGCCCUGAGGGGCGGAGCCAGCCACUCCCUCAGCCAAUGAGCCAGCGUCUGGGGCCGGCGCCGGGGGCGGGGCUGCACUUGACAGUGGCGGUCGCCGGGCAGCCGAGCGGGUGCAGCGGCGGAGCGCGGCGCGGGCAACGGGGAGGGCGCAACUCGGCGGCCCUGGGUGGAGCAUCUGGCGGCGGCGGUGCGAUGCUGCGGGUGUCCCGGGCUCUGGCAUCGCGGCCUCUUCCUAAGGUUUUUGAGAGUUGUCCUGCUGUCACGGAGUUGGGAGUUGAAUGGACGUCAUCUCCUGGCCUGGCAUAUCAGACUUGCUCAUAGAAUAUUUCUUCUCUCCAGACCACUGUGUGCCCUGUGUAUGGAGGGGCAACCCCAAGUCUGCCCCCUGCACCAUCCCUUAGGUCUGAUUUUGGAUGUCUAGAUGUGUGAAACCCCUGCCUUUUCAAGGGUCCCAUCCCCCACUCGGUGCUUAAGGAAUAAUCUACUCUCUCUGUCAUCUGAGGCUAUUUUAGUUCUGCGCACAGGAGCACACCUUGUUGAUUGGCAGCAACACAUCCCCUGCAGUGUUCACAGUGACUCACGUGUCCUACUAUCCCAACUGUCAGAGAAUUCCUGACAGAGGCCGGCCUACUUAAAAGGAAAGACUAAAAUGAUUUUUGUUUGUUUGUUUGUUUGUUUUGGGAAAGAAAUAGUAAUCCAGCAAAUCUCCAAAUUCCCUAGUACUGACCAAAAAGGAGUGAAUUUGAUGUCCAGGAACGGGAAGACUUCUUCACAGAGGGAAAAGCCUCGUCUUUGCGGUAGCCUGGUGACCUGCUGAUGGAUAAGCUAUUCCUAACUUGAUAUUUGACUGAGGAACUUGACGUCUGACUGGACAGCAUUAAAAGCCAUAUCACAAUUGUGACCCAGUAACUUUUGAAGCCGUGCCUAAGAAAAUUAAGUCUGUUAUCACUUAUGGAAUUUCUCUUCCGGUUGGUUGUGUGUGUGGGCGUGCACGCAUGCGUUUGCUUUCUUGGUGUGGUUUUCAACUCUCUUUGGUUCAGGAUGACUUCACAGCACUAAAAUUAAAAGGAAACAAAUACAUUUGGUGCUGUGAAAUACAUUUCAGGCUGCUACCUGAAAAUAAACCCCUAUUCUUGGCAUUUGGCCGCUAUGACCCCGAGUGGUUACCGUCUCAGAGUCUGUGUGAAUACUUUGGAGGUUCAAAGAAAGCCCCCUGUGCAAUGGUUUGCCCCCGUCCUCUCCCACAGCAGUAAGGUUUUCGUGUCCAAGACAGCUAACUCCGUUAUUCUCUUGCUUCUAAACCACAGCCCCAAAUGCCAGGGAAAUAAAACAUGGCAUUUGAUUGUCGUGGCAUUCUUGCCCCAGAAUGGAAGGUGAACCCUACACUUCUUUAACGGACUAGCAACCUGUGAGACUGUGUGGAGUUAGUGACAUUUUCCAGUUUCCUAAAUGUAUCACAGAAGCAUCAUGUGCGAAGAUGCCAUAAACAUACAACCGUCCAAAACCAA
ensembl:lncRNA